UCGUGAUCACGCGAGGUUUCCGGUCUUGUUCUCCUGCCCGACUCACUGAGGAGUUGAUCCUGAACCUCCGGAGGCUCCAUCAUGGGUUCUUCAUACUUUAUGAUGAACUCGAGCGUCAGUGUGAACUUCACUGAACACGAUCCACCCUGAUCAGGCAGCUUUGGAUGAUGUGGAAUCAAAUCUCAAUAUUCAUAUAUUCCUGCCCGACGAAGGUCUGCACGUGUCCUCUGGAUACAAGGUUCGAGGCCCUCGUGUCCCCCACGCUGCGUUCACUGCCUGCAGGAGGAAGCACGUGGGAAAGAUGUAAAGACAUGAAGGAAGUCCACGUGAGGACGAGUGGGUUCCUGAGACGACAUGAACCAGGUGGUGAAAGGAGCAGAUUUGGACUGAGUCAGAAGUCGCACAAGAAAAUACAUGAUGCAUGAGAUUGUGUAAACAUUUCAAAAACUGUUUAUUAAAAACUAAAAUGUA